rnacentral:rRNA from 1 species
GCAUAUCAAUAAGCGGAGGAAAAGAAACUAACAAGGAUUCCCCUAGUAACGGCGAGUGAAGCGGGAAGAGCUCAAAUUUGAAAUCUGGUAGCCUUCGGUUGCCCGAGUUGUAAUCUAGAGAAGUGUUUUCCGUGCCGGCCCAUGUACAAGUCCCUUGGAACAGGGCGUCAUAGAGGGUGAGAAUCCCGUCCUUGACAUGGACCCCCGGUGCUUUGUGAUACACUUUCAACGAGUCGAGUUGUUUGGGAAUGCAGCUCAAAAUGGGUGGUGAAUUCCAUCUAAAGCUAAAUAUUGGCGAGAGACCGAUAGCGAACAAGUACCGUGAGGGAAAGAUGAAAAGCACUUUGGAAAGAGAGUUAAACAGUACGUGAAAUUGUUGAAAGGGAAACGAUUGAAGUCAGUCAUGCUCUUAGGAUUCAGCCGUUCUGCGGUGUAUUUCCUUUGAGUGGGGUCAACAUCAGUUUUGAUCGAUGGAUAAAGGCACGAGGAAGGUAGCACUCUCGGGUGAACUUAUAGCCUCGCGUCAUAUACAUUGAUUGGGACUGAGGAACGCAGCAUGCCUUUAUGGCCGGGAUUCGUCCACGUACAUGCUUAGGAUGUUGACAUAAUGGCUUUAAACGACCCGUCUUUGAAACACGGACC